rnacentral:rRNA from 1 species
AUGUGGACCUGUCUUCGUCAGCGCUAUGAGCCCUCUGGUGAUGCCUUAUACCUUUCUGUGGUUCGUCAGGAGCAUGCUCUUCAGCAGGGUGACUCUACUGUUGAUGACUUUUAUGCACAGAGUUCUGCUAUCUGGCGCCAGCUUGAUUCUCUCCGCAGUGCUGGUUGUCGUACUUGCCCCUGCUGCCAGGCUGUCCAGGCCGAUUUGGAGUUUCAUCGCGUCUACGAGUUCCUGUCUCGGCUCCAUAAGGAGUUUGAGCCCCGGCGUGCUCAGUUGUUUGCUCGUGGCCGUAUUUCUCUCAUGGAGGCGCUUUCAGAGAUUCGUGCUGAGGAGACUCGCCUACGUGGUGCUGGUUUGCUGGAGGUUCCCUCUGUGCUUGCUACUCGGGCUUCUUCCACUCCACCUGCGGCACCGCCCCAUUCUCGCUCGAGUGCUCCGCCGCUCUUGCCCACUCCUUCUGGAGGCUCCGGUCGCCCUCGUCCACACUGUGACUACUGCAACAAUGAUGGUCAUAUUGAGUCCCAGUGCUACACAAAGCGGAAACACCUGCGCAAGGCGCGAUCACCAUCCUCAGGGACUUCGUCA